rnacentral:rRNA from 1 species
GACGAACGCUGGCGGCGUGCCUAACACAUGCAAGUCGAGCGGAGUCACGAAGUAGCUUGCUACGGAGUGACUUAGCGGCGGACGGGUGAGUAACGCGUGAGCAAUCUGCCUUAUACAGGGGGAUAACAGCCGGAAACGGCUGCUAAUACCGCAUAAGACCACAGCAGCGCAUGCUGCAGGGGUAAAAGGAGGAAUCCGGUAUAAGAUGAGCUCGCGUCCCAUUAGCUAGUUGGUAGGGUAACGGCCUACCAAGGCGACGAUGGGUAGCCGACCUGAGAGGGUGACCGGCCACACUGGGACUGAGACACGGCCCAGACUCCUACGGGAGGCAGCAGUGGGGAAUAUUGCGCAAUGGGGGGAACCCUGACGCAGCAACGCCGCGUGAGUGAAGAAGGUCUUCGGAUCGUAAAGCUCUGUCUUUGGGGACGAAAGAGAUGACGGUACCCAAGGAGGAAGCCUCGGCUAACUACGUGCCAGCAGCCGCGGUAAGAGUA